rnacentral:lncRNA from 1 species
UUGCUAUACUAAGGCCCGGUCUUUUCACCUCCGAAUAAAUAUGCUCUUAUCUGGCAGUUAGCUAUCUGGAGGAUAAAUAUUUAUUCGCCAGAUAAAAAGUACCCGUCUUUUCACGUCAAUUUAUGUUCCAGUUAGUUAUCCGGUAGAUAAGCUUAAAAGUAAGUUUGGAUUCCGAACACACCUGACUUUUAUGUUUAUUUUUAUAAUUUCAGCUUUAACUUAACCUAACAUAAUUAGAUUCAAAGUAUUUCAAAGAUGAUUUUAUCGAUUUUAUUUCCAUUUUGGAAGAAGGAAUGAAGGAAAUAAGGAAAACAUUGAUUAUGCUGAAAUAGUUUACUGGAGAGCUUGAACAAGAGGUAAAUCCAUUUUAAAUUAGAGGAAAACUGUUGAUUUGUAUGUAAAAUAGAAGACAAAGACAAGUUUAAAUAAAGACAAGCUAGCUAAUGAAACAGAUGCAGUGAUAUGACAAACACCUAGAAGAUGGAAUCCUGUGUUCUCAAAGAAAAAGCUAGUUCCAGAAAUAAGCUACCAAUAAUAAACUAGAGAAUGUAUUACAAGAAAGAACAACGCUAAUACCCAACAUAGCUCAAUUGCUUCAGAUAGAAAAAGAGGAGGAAAGGGUAGAACACAAGCGUGCCAGAGAAAAUUAAAGGGCAGAAGAGACACAAAAAUUCAUUGAUUUAUUAAAUUUAAUAAUUAAAUUAUACAAAGGACAAUUAAAUAAAGAAUAAAAAAUUA